GACAGAGGGUGCAAACGUUGUUCGGAAUUACUGGGCGUAAAGGGCUCGUAGGCGGCCAACUAAGUCGGAUGUGAAAUCCCCAGGCUUAACCUGGGAACUGCAUCCGAUACUGGAUGGCUUGAAUCCGGGAGAGGGAUGCAGAAUUCCAGGUGUAGCGGUGAAAUGCGUAGAUAUCUGGAGGAAUACCGGUGGCGAAGGCGGCAUCCUGGACCGGCAUUGACGCUGAUGAGCGAAAGCUAGGGGAGCAAACGGGG
rnacentral:rRNA from 1 species